CUCUGACAAUCAGGAACUCUUUGCCUCCCAGAACCCUAGAGCUCAUACCAGCUCUUCCACUUCAUUUAUAGGAAUUCUGGCUCUGCCACUACGGGAUCUUGAACAAUUCCAUUAAAUUCUCUGAGCCCCUGUUUCCUCAUUGUAAGAUAAGUACACUUCUCCUACCCAGUUGUAGUGAAACGAUCACUUGAGAUGAUGUAGGUGACAAUACCUGACAAACUCUAAAACUACGCAAAAGUAAAGGAUUCUUAUGUUUUUAAUAUGCGAGGAACCGGAAGGGAAUGGAGAUCCUAUGAACCAGUUAUUAUUCCUGCUCCCGGCUGAAGCCCCAGGAGGCAUUUCUUGGCCUGCGCUGAAAUCCUUGGGGCCCUGUAUAGAUCUCAGCACUUCCCAGAGCUUCCACUUCUCUGUCUACUGGAUGGUCUUCUUUCAUCAAAACUUACCUUUUACAAUGAUCCUCCGUUAGAAAAGGACAUUAGAAUUCCUUUUCUUUCUUGGUUCCUGGUUUAUUUGGGUAAACUACAGCCUAUGCUUUGUUGCCUGGAGAGCAAAGGGGAACGAGAGGAGAGGACUCUAUUUAACCAACCUCCAAGUGAGUUCUUGAGAAUUUCAGCUGAGCUGAUCCUUGGCCAUGUAGUCAAUUAUGAAUUUGACAGAAAUGUCUAAAUUGACACAGCUUUGAUUGCACAGACAAGAAAAAGUGUGAUAAUUCAGCAAAAGUCCAUGAUUGUGAGGAAGAAAUGGAAAUUGGGAUUUGAAGGAAUUCAUUCUCUUCAACAUCACGCUUUCAGAGGCCUCCCCUAACCGCCUGUAUAAAAUAGCACACUAUCGAUUUGCUCUACUUUAUUUUUACUAUGCCUUAUUUUUCUCCACAGCACUUGUCACCAUCUAAGAGGAGAUACAUUCUUUGGUUUGUAUACUAUCUAUUGUUCUCCUCGAGAAGGUAGACUUAGUGAGAGUUGGACCUCUGUUUUGGUUGCUACUACAUCCGUAACACCUAGAAUGGUGUCUGGCCCAUAGGAGACACUCUGGAAAUGCCUGUUGAAUGAAUGUACUUAAUUGUUUUUGAAGAAAUAUAUAAACACCUAGAGUAGCAACUCUGUUCUUUAUGAAUUGGAUUGUGAAAUGAUUGAAACAAAGGUUCUUUUGGCUCUUUGCAUUUCCUGGGUGCCGGAUGAUUAGGCUUUCAUCCGGCACCCAGGAAACCUUCAAAACCAACUUCAGUCUAAGUUUUCUCACACUCUGGUUUGUCUCAACAUGUGCAGUGCCCCAUGAUACCCACAACUUGACAUUUAGAUUAUUUCUUGCAAAUGGUUUAGAGCAGCAUCACACACCAUGGGGUGACAUGACUUCUCCCAGAGUAGAUGGAAUAUGGGAGAAACAGUCAGCAAAUGCUCUUUUGAUCAGUUUCAUGCUUCUCACUCCUUGAGAUGUACCACCACGUGCCCUGGAAUCAGUCACACAAAGGUUUGCUUCCCAUUUGUAGGCAUAAGGCCAGCCAAAGACAGGACCAGUGUUCACACAUGCCUCCCCUGGAAGACACUGCUUUAGGCUAAGUUAAGGGUUACACAUGCUUUGCCUGAAAAGCUGAAAACCAGGGUUUUACUCUCCAUGGUGACAUUCUCCCCAGAAAUGAACUGGUGAUGUUCAUUAAUCUGAAGCCUCAUUAAUGAGAUACAAAUAUAAAAUAUAGCUUCUCUACCAGUAACUGUCUUGUACCACUUGGACCUAAUUACAGAGAAUCUUGUUAAAAACAACUUGAAACCCUUAGAAAGCUAAAUAGUCAGAUAGUCAAUUAAAUAUAUUGCUAAGGUGUAAUGGAAAAAGUGAUGUGUUUCCUCCCAAUGUUGAACUAAUCUCACAUUCCUAUGCUUUGCUCACUACUGGCAACACCUUUUCUAAAAAUCAGUGUAUGUCUCUUCCCCUUCUGUUGAUCAAAUACCAUGUAUAGAAUCAUUUUCUCUCAAAUAGAACACAAAAAAACAAAUUGUGAAAGUAUUAUUUUCCAUAUUUCUCCCUUCAUUAUCUUACCUUUUCUCCUCCAACAUUGCAUAGAUGGCACCUUCCCUUUUUAAUUGAAACUGAUCGAUUGCAGCAUUUGCAGAAAUCGACAUAUCCUUUUGGAUUAACUUUUUCCCCCAUCACCCUCACCUAAGAUCUCUUAAUUUCUGAGCUCUUUAAGAAGCAGACCAUUACAAAAUAAAAAGGCCAAUGUCUUUGGUCUGGAUCAAAAUUUUUGUCCUAAGAAAAUAGGUUAUUUUGCCCAAAAUCAAUCACUCAAGUACUUUCAGAGUGCCCAGCACCAAGCUAGACGCUGCUGAGAUGCAGAGGAAGGUAUGAAGUGUGGCCCCUGCUUUCAGCCUAUUGUAAAGACUAUUAGUCACCCUUCCAGAGCUAAGCUGUGCAGGACUAAUAAUGCCAUUAGUUAAAAGCUCAUGGAACCAUGGAAGUGUGACCCAGAACAGACUUAAAAUAAUAAGGACACUAAAAAAAAAAUAAAGUAGUUCUUGUAAAUUGUAGUUAACAGUUGCCUGGUGCAUACUUAAAAACACCGAUAAGCAAAAAUUUUUAAAGCCUCAGUGAGGUUGUGUGGUUUUCAUCUUCCCCAUCAGCUCGGAUAUACAGGGAUCCCACAGAGGGUUGCAGAAGGAGCAGCCACAGAAAUAAACAGGAGCCUUUGCUAUCACAUGGCAAGCAAGUGUCGCAUCUCCUGAGCAUCCCAGGUAUCUGGGGCAGCCCCCUGACAAUGGAUGAAACGAUAUCACAUCCAGCCAGAAAACAACCCAGCAGAAACAGUGAGAUGACACAUAAACCCACAAGCUUGGCUCAUAAUGUGGAGCAGCAAUACAUGAGCAUACUGUACUUCUGCAGCCACUCUAGAGAAAGAAAAAGAGUAAAAUGUGUGAGAAAACACCAUUAAAUUACUCACUAUUAGCCCCUAAAGUGUGCUUCCAACCUAUGUGGACACACAUACACACAUGUACACACACACACUCUCACACACACACAUACAUGCAGGAGUAGAGAAUGUCACAGUUAAAUUUUUUACUAGUAUAAUGAGGAAAGGGACCAACUGAAGAAGCUCCCUGGGCUAAUUUUCUAGCCAGCAGCCACUGCAAUGUUCCCACUAGGAGAGUGAGAAGGAGGGAGAGCAAAGUAUAAUAAAUAAUGACUGGCUUUGCUGGUCAGGAGAAAUUAUCACUAUGCUUGAGGGAUCUAAGCAUAUGUUCACCCAGGAAUAUAUCAGGGGUGAAAACUGAGGCGAGGGAGAAAUGAAAGCCCAGAAUGGGUUGGACAUAUCUCCAGGACAUAUUUAUUUAAAUUUUUAAAAACGAAAAAACAAAUAGCAUCACCCAAAGUUACAUAUUGCUAAACCUAAAAAUGGCCAGUCACCCUUCUUCCCCUAAAUUUAAAUUGCUUUUUAACUUGUAGUUUUUUAUGGCUUUGUAGGGGGAAGUCUAGCUAUUUUACAUUUCUUGUAGACAUUUGCUCCAGUCUACUAUAUUUAUUUUGUGUCAGCUUUGUGUGUUAGCAGAGCAAAAGGCUCAGAAUGCUUACUCUGUGCUCACCUUCGGAGAUCUGCUCUAUAUAGUAGGAAAAUAGGACCUAGAAAAUUCAGGGAUAUGCAGAGGCAAAAUAUUACCCAGAUCAGGAAAGUCAGUGUUGCCCAUGUUUCAGAGCUAAAAUUUACUUUGAUGUGUCAUAAACAAAUAAGUCAGGAUCAAACCAGGGUGGGUUUGAAUGAUUACAGGAUAAACAGAAAGGCUAGGCCUUAUUCAUCUUUUAUGGCUUUUCUAAAAAAUUAAGGAAACAAAAUCUAUAUGUUGAAGGCUUUUCACUUAAUUGAUAGUCUGUGCCCAGUGUGUGAGCAUGUCUCUUACAUAUAAAGAAACUCAGACAGACUGGCAAUAUAUUCCUCAAUAAGCAGCAGAGUAACAGAGUCUGGUAUCUUCCUUCCUGAAACAACAAUGAUGACAAAAACACAAGAAACAAACAAUAACAGAAACCAAAAACAAGAAAAAGAAAAAAGACAAGACAUUGGACAUCAAACAAUGAAGAAAGUCAUACCUAAGAGAUGUGAAACAAAUGAAACAAGCCCUGUAAUUGACCCAAUAACAGGUUGGAGAGGAUUUUCUGGCUACAGUGCAGAGAGAGGGAGAGAACCUCAGGUGGAGCUUGAUGGCCUCCCCACGUUGACAAUACAAGGCUGGGAGUCUAAGGAGGCCAAGAGAGCUAUUGCUUACAGGGAAGAGUAACAUAGAGAAGUGAGCUGCACAGAAAGAAAGCCCAGGAGAUCUUUAGACCAAGAUCUCUCUUGAUUAUUUGGUUGAGUAAUAAGGAAUGCAUGCAUGUAAGGAAACCACCCAAAGCUACAGAAAGAGUCACCUCUUAAAAGGAAUAAUAUCUGUAGCUCAUAUACAGGCAGGAAUGAAGCCUGUUGCCAACAACCAUAAUGGAAAACUUCAUUAUUUGGGGCACUGGAUAGAGCAAUCCGAAUAAUUUUGCAACAAUAAUGGGAGAAAAAAAUUAACACUAGAUUGAGUCUAUCUAACAGAGCUUAAAAGCAAGACAUGAUAGGGUCAAACUAUCUCCAAGUAACUUAGUCACAUCAAAAAAAAGUUCAAGAAGAUUUAUAGGAGUACAAAAAUGUUCAGAACCCAAAAGAGUAAAAUUGACAAUGUCUGGCAUCCAAUCAAAAGUUACUAGACAUGUAAAAAAAAAAAAAAAAAAGGCACACAAUGAGAAGAAUAUGCAGUGAAUCAAAACUGUCCUAGAAAUGACAAUAUGAAAAAAUUAAUAGUCAGAACAUUAAAAUAAUUAUUAUAUCUAUGUUCAUAUAUAUAUACAUUCAUGAAGCCGAGAAAUGAUUGAACAUAAUAAGUACAGUUGUGAGGGAUACAGAAAGUUUCAUCUCAAACUUUCAGAGAUUAAAACUACCAUGUCUAAGAUUUUAAAAAAACAACCUGGAUGGGAUUAACAAUGAAUCCGAUGCUGCAAAUGAUUAAGGAACUUGAAUGCACAGCAACAGAAAAUACCAAAAAAUGAAACACAGAGAGAAAAGAAACUGAAGAAUAUAAAAUAAGCAGAGCAUCAGGGAGCUGUGGUACACCUUUAAAGUCACAGUAUUCAUUUUAUUAGGGUCUCUAAAGGAGAGGAGAAGCAGCAGGAACAGAACAAAUAAUUGAAGAUGAAGUAGUCAAAAAUCUUCCAAAUUUGAUGAAAACUAUAAACUCACAGUUCCAAGAAGUUCAGUGAAUCAGAAGCACAAGAAACAUGAAGAAACCACUUAAGGGCAUAUCAUAAUCAUAAUCAAAUUGCUUAAAACUAAUGAUACAGAGAAGAACUUCAAAGUAACGAGAAAAAGUACAGUAGGUAUGAAGAAAUAAAGAGAACAAUGACAGAACAUUUCUUAUCAGAAACAACUCAAAACAGAAGACAGUAGAAGAACAUCUUUAAAGCAUUGAAAGAAAAACUCUAAACCUAGAAGUCUUUACUUGCUAAAAAUAUCUUUCAAAAAUGAAUGUGGAAGAAAAAGUUUUUGAGGUAUAUAAAAGCUAACAGAAUUCAUCAAGUUUUCCAGGUAGAACAAAAAUGAUGCCAGAUGAAAAUUUCUAUCUAAACAAAAGAAUGAUGAGCAUCAAAAAAUGGUAACUAUGUGGGUAAAUACAAAUAGUUUCAUUACUUAAAUCUCCUUCAAACAGAAUCAACUCUUUAAAGCAAAAAUAAAACAAUCUAUUGUGUGAUGAAUAGCAUAUUGCUAUGGUUUCAAUAUUUGUACUCUCCAAAACUCUUGUUGAAAUUUAAUUGCCAUUGUAAUAGUAUUAUGAGGUGGGACAGUUAAGAGGUGAUUAGACCAUGAGGACUCCACCCUCACAGAUGGAUUAAUGUUGUUAUCUUGGGAGUGAGUUCACUAUAAAAGGGCACAUUUAGGCCCCUUUUUGCUCUUUCGCUCUUUUGCCUUUUGACAUGUGAUGAUCAAUAAGAAAGCCCUUACCAUGUGAUGCUGGCACCUUGAUAUUGGACUUCCCAGCCUCCAGAACUGUGAGCCAUUACAUUUCUAUUCAUUGUAAAUUACCUAGGCUCAGGUAUUCUGUUAUAGUGGCAGAAACAGACUAAGACACAUAAAUAGAAAUAAAAUGUGUAAUAACAAUAGCAAAAACCCCAAUUACCUUUGCACCAACCUAAUAACCUGUCCAGGAUUGAGUCUUUCAUACUUAAUGGUAACUGACCAGUCUAUCCAUGUAUUUUCCAAGGUGUGACCUGCAGAUCACUAGCUAUUUUAAAUUUUCCUUGAAAAGAGGAACUAUAUGGUCAAACAUAUUUAAGAAAUGCUAUGAACUACUUUCUCCUCUUACUGAAUUUCACUGAGUAAAAAAAUAUUAAGGACUCUGAGAAGUCUUGUAUUAGAGAAAGAUGUCUGUGUGCAAUCUAGCAGUUCCUAAAUUAUUUGUCUGAAGCAAAUAAUAUUGUGCUAUUCCACAGGAUAAAUGUGUGUGAACUUUUUCUAUUUAAUCAAUCUACAGAAGCAAAGCUUUUUACUUUAUAGUCAAAAGAUUAUCUCACAAUAAUGAUGGUCAUUAUGGUGGCUUCCUUCUCUUCCCCCAACCCCCACUGCCUGGUUUAUUGAAGUAAAAUUGACUUACAAUAAGCUGUACAUAUUUAAAGUGUGCAAUUCGAUAAGGUUUGAUUUAUGUAUAUACACCCAUGAAACUGUCAUCAGAAUUAAGAUAUUGAAAAUAUCUAUCAUCCCUAAGUUUUGUUACGGUCCUUUGUAAUCCCUCUCUCCUAGAUAAUCUUGAAUACAAAGCAAUAAGAGCAGACAACAUUGUCCACUCUUUUUUGAGGGUUGGACCCUCAAACUUUAAUGUGCAUGUGACUCACCCAGGAUUCUUGUUCAAAUGCAGACUCAGAUUCAGUAAGUCUGUGGGUAGGGUCUGAGUGUCUACAUUUCUAACAAGCUCUCCAGUGAUGCUCCAGUGGUACUAAUGGUGCUCACACAUCAAAACCAGCACCAAGUUCAGUAUUCACAUAUAAAUUGCUGCCUUGGAAACAGUUUCCACUUUAAAAAUAUUUAAAAACAAUAUUAAGUUUGUCCUAGUUAUUACUCAUGGAAAAUACCAUAGAUAGAGUUAGAUAAAAAUCAGUCUAACAAUAACACAACUCCUUCCAAAGCCCAUGAGGAAACUAAAUAUCCUACUAAUAAAGGGCAUGAAAAAUCUUAGAAGAGAAAUGUUGCAAGUAAUUUCUUCAUCUUAUAUCUUAAAAUGAAUAUUGAAGACAAGCUCUUUUAAUUAUUCACAAGAAAUCUUCCACAAUGGAAUAGUGAGAAAAUAUCUGACAAAUAUCAUCAUCAUCAUCAUCAUCAUCAAAUUGCUGUAUCAUACCUUGUGUUUAAAACUAUCUUCCUAAUUUAAUAAAACUUGCUUAACUUUGGUCAAAAUACCUUAUCUAUGCUUAAAUUACACAAAACUCCUAAACAUUAUUUUCUUUAAUUGCACAAUUUGUCUGCAUAGCAAAAAAGCUUAAAAGGCAAUACCAGAAUGGAAUUGGUUUGGUCAUAAUCAAUAGCAUCUUAAUGGAGGAUUUAAGUACUAUAAUUCCCCUGAAUGUAGAAGAAAACCUGGUAUGAAAUAAAAACCCUUUGAAGAGCUAUUUUGCAUGGCAUAAAGAGUUCUCACCAACAACCUUAUCUGAAUGUAUUAGAUAAUUUUGGACUUUUAAUGUUGAUUUCUACUAGGUAGAUUACAUUUGCAUGAAUUUAUAAUGAAAAUACCUCUAGGCCUAAGUCUUCCUAUUCAUAAAUGCAUGGCCUGGAUCCUGUAAGUGCCAGUUUACUGGGUCACUAGCAUAGCACUCUCAGCAUCAAGAUCUUUCUCCAUUUUAAGCCUUUCAGUAACCAGUGUGCUCUGCUCUCCCUGCUGUGCCAUCAAUAGGAGGAGAGACAGGGCAGCUUUGCAGAACACAGACUAUGCCCUACCUGCAACAGAAACAAAACAUGAUCUGAGCUAGCACUAACAAUGUCCAGAGUUACCAUCAUCUAAGGAAAAGUUUCAUACAAUAAAAAUGACUGCAUAAAAUUUCAC
rnacentral:lncRNA from 10 species